AGGAGUUGAAAGUUGUGUUUGAAGGGAUUUCAGGAGAUUAUGCCCAAAGGUCUUAUAAAUCAACCCCGAUACCAAGAGACAUCCUAUUUCAAGGAUUAGGAACUUACCUGACAAGUUUCUUCUCAAACUUGCAAAGUCUUUUCAUAUCUGUCUUUUUCAUGUGGGAUGUUGGAACACCCCUGCUUCUUGAAUUUGUACACUAUACUUUUCUGAAAGUAGUGUAUGCUAUGCAAUGUGCAUGAUUUUCAAUGCAUGCUAUGCAAAUGUUGGUCAAUCAAUUCCUGUUCAAUGUAUGGUACUCAAGUUUCUCAAGCUC
rnacentral:lncRNA from 1 species